AUUGAACGCUGGCGGCAGGCUUAACACAUGCAAGUCGAGCGGAGUGAUGGUGCUUGCACUAUCACUUAGCGGCGGACGGGUGAGUAAUGCUUAGGAAUCUGCCUAUUAGUGGGGGACAACAUCUCGAAAGGGAUGCUAAUACCGCAUACGUCCUACGGGAGAAAGCAGGGGAUCACUUGUGACCUUGCGCUAAUAGAUGAGCCUAAGUCGGAUUAGCUAGUUGGUGGGGUAAAGGCCUACCAAGGCGACGAUCUGUAGCGGGUCUGAGAGGAUGAUCCGCCACACUGGGACUGAGACACGGCCCAGGCUCCUACGGGAGGCAGCAGUGGGGAAUAUUGGACAAUGGGGGGAACCCUGAUCCAGCCAUGCCGCGUGUGUGAAGAAGGCCUUCGGGUUGUAAAGCACUUUCAGCGAGGAGGAAGGGGUGUGUGUUAAUAGUACACACCUUUGACGUUACUCGCAGAAGAAGCACCGGCUAACUCUGUGCCAGCCGCCGCAGUAACAC
rnacentral:rRNA from 1 species